GUAGGGGCCUAGCGUUGUCCGGAUUUAUUGGGCGUAAAGAGCUCGUAGGCGGUUUGGUGAGUCGGGUGUGAAAUCUCCACGCUCAACGCGGAGGGGCCACCCGAUACUGCCAUGACUAGAGUCCGGUAGGGGAGUGUGGAAUUCCCGGUGUAGCGGUGAAAUGCGCAGAUAUCGGGAGGAACACCAGUAGCGAAGGCGACACUCUGGGCCGGUACUGACGCUGAGGAGCGAAAGCGUGGGGAGCAAACAGGAUUAGAUACCCUGGUAGUCCACGCUGUAAACGUUGGGCACUAGGUGUGGGACUCUAUCGACGGGUUCCGUGCCGUAGCUAACGCAUUAAGUGCCCCGCCUGGGGAGUACGGCCGCAAGGCUA
rnacentral:rRNA from 1 species